rnacentral:snoRNA from 1 species
CAAGGACGAAAUAUCAAGCUGGCACCAGUCCGAGAAGAUCAUUUGUACUCUUCUACGUGCGGAUUAGCGAAAAGGCACAAGCCUAUAACCUGAG